rnacentral:rRNA from 1 species
AUUGAACGCUGGCGGCAUGCCUUACACAUGCAAGUCGAACGGUAACAGGUCUUCGGAUGCUGACGAGUGGCGAACGGGUGAGUAAUACAUCGGAACGUGCCCGAUCGUGGGGGAUAACGAGGCGAAAGCUUUGCUAAUACCGCAUACGAUCUACGGAUGAACGCGGGGGAUCUUCGGACCUCGCGCGGACGGAUCGGCCGAUGGCAGAUUAGGUAGUUGGUGGGAUAAAAGCUUACCAAGCCGACGAUCUGUAGCUGGUCUGAGAGGAUGAUCAGCCACACUGGGACUGAGACACGGCCCAGACUCCUACGGGAGGCAGCAGUGGGGAAUUUUGGACAAUGGGCGAAAGCCUGAUCCAACCAUGCCGCGUGCAGGAUGAAGGCCUUUGGGUUGUAAACUGCUUUUGUACGGAACGAAAAGCCUCUUUCUAAUAAAGAGGGGUCAUGACGGUACCGUAAGAAUAAGCACCGGCUAACUACGUG